GGAAGGCAGGGAGUGAAGUGCAGAUGUGACAGCCGGGUAGCAGAAAACAAGCAGCAGGGACGGCGGGUCCCCCCGCACCACUUUAUCAGCGCUUUCCCCCCGCGAGCCCGGCCGCCUCUCACGGUGAUGGAUGCACGCUCUUAUCGGAGCCGUGCCGAAAUGGGGCAGGAGCCUGCGCCGGGAGCUGCCGGAGAGAAGCGAUGGAGCCUGGGAGGUGCGAGUGAUCCCACGGCUUCUGAAUCUGGAGCAAGAACAAGAGGAGAGAAGGCAGAGAGCUGCCAGGGGGAACUGAAUCCAAAUGGGGCGGUGAUCCGGUUACCAUCAGCACGACGUCGAGGACGAAAGCGGCGUGUCUAAGGACGAAGCUAGGCGGAACGGAGACCAACACGCAGAACCAGCG